rnacentral:lncRNA from 12 species
CAUUAGGGUGGCCCUCGUCCAGUCUGACUGGUGUCCUUCUAAGAGGAAAUUUGGUCACACAGAGACACCAGAGACGCACGAGCCCGGGGGGAAGACUCCGCACACAAGGACCGAGGCUUCCGAAGAAACCAACCCUGCAGACACCUUGAUCUUGGACUUCCAGCCUUCAGACGUGGGACAAAAUAAGUUUCUGCUGCCUAAGGGGGCAGCCCGUGCAGACACCAGGUGCAGACACUGCUUGCUCAGCUGGGCUCACUUGCCAGGCAAGUGACACACCCUCUGGACGCCAGUUUACAGCCCUCAGUGAGGACUUGGACUCAGGAUCAUUGGGCCGGCUGUCCCAGAGACUGUCAAGGUGCACCGUGGGAGGCACGCUGGAGAUCACAGGUAAGUGGAGGAGCAAGUGGGGUGUGUGUGUUUCCCCAGUUCCCUCCAUGCAGUUGCUGGAGUUGUCCAGGUUCCUCUACAAAGGCCAC